AGGUCGUGGUAUUUCGUACCUUCAUGG
rnacentral:miRNA from 1 species